CUGUAUCUGACCGACUUCUAUUUGAAAGAGAUCCAGAGAAUUUUUCAUGAGUCGCUCCUGCGAUUCAUGAAAAAUUCUUCCGAAAUGGCAAUGUCAUGUAACGUUAUAAAUUGUGAGAGUAUAUGGUAAGAUCCAAAUUAGGAGUAGCAUUGAAUUCAACACAACUGCAGUGUAAUAAAUACCGCAAAACUGGCAACUGACUUCACGUCGUAAAUACGCACGCAGCCAAAUGCUACCACUUCUGACAGAAUUGCUUCUGAACCACCCGUUGAAUGAGAAAGAGGAAGGAGAAACCUGAAAACGCACGACUUUUUCUUUCGUGCAGUGUCAGCCACAGAACGUGGUGGGUUAAUCUAGUUGGAGUAAAACACCCGGAAAAAAGACUAAUCGCGUCAACAGUUAUUUUCAAAAACUAAACCUAAUACCGUGCACAACAGUGUAACGGAGAUUGUGGAGAUACGCUUGUCGUUGACAUUGAAACGCGAUUCUACGAGUACGCCGCAGUCACGAAACCUAUGUAAGCCUGGCGAAAGUGCGGAUCUUUACAACUCGGUGAAAAAUAAGAGGUGUAUUUUGUCCAUGCCACGUGAACAAAUGCGUAAACCAACAAGGUCACUGAGUCAGCGGUGAAUAACCUGGAAAGGAACAGAAAUAUCCGUUCGGAUAAAGUAAGCCUUUAUUUUAAUACAUUAGAGUACGUAGAGCUCAUGCUCACGUUCUUCACAGCGAUCUUAUUAUCGGAUCCUGGCAUUUGCCCAGAGGCGAACGAGACGUAGUCUGCAUGUGAACGAGAGCAGAAACGCAUUCAAAAUAUAACCACCCCCGCGAGGGGUUGUUUUUCAUAUUUCGGAUUGGGAAGAAGAAGCAGGUGCGUAAGGCACGUCACACGCAUCAAAACUGAUCCGCGUCGAGAUAAAGCAUUAGACACAUAUUGCACAGGCACGGAUGGUGCACGUGGUGGAACGGGUAGCUCACUGUCUGAUAGAAGGGGCUGGCUGGAACGUGGAGACAACGAGUGGUGCGAAACUUGAAGGUGCGGUGGCGAUAUUAAGAAGUCACGGGUCGGGAUGGCCAAGACGACCUGCGGGAAGCUGCGAUAUUGUAGGCGUGAA